rnacentral:rRNA from 1 species
GAUGAACGCUAGCUACAGGCUUAACACAUGCAAGUCGAGGGGCAGCAUAAAAUCAGCUUGCUGAUUUGAUGGCGACCGGCGCACGGGUGAGUAACACGUAUCCAACCUGGCCUUUACUCAGGGAUAGCCUUUCGAAAGAAAGAUUAAUACCUGAUAGCAUAAAUUGACCGCAUGGUUGAUUUAUUAAAGAUUUAUUGGUAAAGGAUGGGGAUGCGUUCCAUUAGCUUGUUGGUAAGGUAACGGCUUACCAAGGCAUCGAUGGAUAGGGGUUCUGAGAGGAAGGUCCCCCACAGUGGAACGGAGACACGGUCCAGACUCCUACGGGAGGCAGCAGUGAGGAAUAUUGGUCAAUGGGCGGAAGCCUGAACCAGCCAAGUAGCGUGAAGGAUGACUGCCCUAUGGGUUGUAAACUUCUUUUAUAAGGGAAUAAAACGUCUUACGUGUAAGAUUUUGUAUGUACCUUAUGAAUAAGCAUCGGCUAACUCCGUGCCAGCCGCCGCGGUAACAC